rnacentral:lncRNA from 1 species
GUCGAUCGAUAUUUUGAAAGGUGUAUCGAUAUAUAUUCUUUACGAAUCAUCGAUCGACACUUUCUCGCGAUAAACCUACGAGAGUUCAAAUCCGUGAUCCCGAUUAGAUAAUCUAAUUGAUUAUAUCUGAGUUUGAAUUCGAGAACAAUUAAUAUCAUUAAACCCCUAAAAAGCCAAAUUAAGUUAUUUACUUAUCAUACCUGAGAAUAUACUUGAAUCUAGCUAUUCCCACAACUGUUAACAACCUC